CCAGCAAACAUCUUGUUCUUCUGUGUUCACAUACAGCCUUGUUUAGGCACUCUGACAUAAGGGUAAAGGACUCAGAUGAGCUGAGGUGCUGUGAUGCUUGCAGGUCAGCGACCCUCACCAGGCAAACACAUGCAGGUCACAAACUCUAAAAGCUGCCGACGCUGGGGCCUAACAGGGAAGUUCUUUCACAAGACCUAUGAAGUACCUCUGUAUGAUGAAAAGGUAGUCACUGCCCCGUACCUGCCACAAAGUCUCCAAAGCCGAUGGUGCUGAGGGUGAUGAAGCAGUAGUAGAUGGCCUGGGAGUAAGUCCAGCCCUCAUGCAUUUGGAACACAAUCAUGGGCACAACAAAGAAGAGAACUGCUCCAGACAGAUCUCCCUCCAGCUUCCAGAAAACCACCCCGCCAAUCAGCACAUAGGCCACAUAAACCACUCCGAGCAUAAGGAUGGAGGGCACCCGUGCCAAGUUGAAAAUUUCCUUUAUCUCCAUUUGAACUUCCUUGG